GGACUGUAAAGGAUGCAGGGACCGAGCUGCGGGCUGCCGGGCACGGCAUUCCCGAGCCGCUGGGGCCACCUAGAGGGGGGAUGCGUCCCCUACAUGGAGCCUCCCGUCCCCGAGCCCCCCGAGCUCACUGUUGUGCAGCCAGCUGGUGAAGUGCUCCACAGCCUUCCUGAAUCCAAGGGAGAUUGCUGCAGCUUUGGAAGGAGCCACCACUCCAGGACCUGUCUGCGAGGCUGGGAGCUGGGAUGUGGAGACUGUUCUUGAGUCUCAGAUGGCCACGACCCACCUGAAGCUGCUGUCUGCCCCUUCUCCAGGACUGACAUCAGGACAACUGCGAGGGAAUCACUGCCCCAAGAUGAGUAUUCUAACUCUUAUUACUUGGAGAGGCGUUGCUUCUUUAAACUUAGCCUUCAACUUCAUUGUAAAGAUGAACCAAGAUGCUAAAUUCAUUCACUAGGUAAUGAAGACUAAAACCUGUCUAUACCAGAUUAAAAAGGCACUUGUGUUAAUCCUUGGAGGGCUGCACCACGUGUCACCAGGCUUUGAAUUCAGCUCCCCGGUGCUUUCUAUGGCACAAACGCCUGCAAAUGCUGCUAGCCUGGAAAGCGACUGCAGGCCAGCUGGGUUUUUUUGGCUAUUGGUCAAAUAUCUGUU